GAUAAACGCUGGCGGCGUGCCUUACGCAUGCAAGUCGAACGGGGUGCUUCGGCACUCAGUGGCGGACGGGUGAGUAACACGUACGUGACCUGCCCCUGAGUGGGGGAUACCCGCCCGAAAGGGUGGCUAAUACCGCAGGGGGUCGGUGGGGAGACCCACCGAGCAAAGGAGGGUGCGCAAGCGCCUUUCGCUCGGGGAGGGGCGUGCGGCCGAUUAGCUCGUUGGUGGGGUAAGGGCCUACCAAGGCUGUGAUCGGUAGCUGGGCUGAGAGGCUGAC
rnacentral:rRNA from 1 species